GGGGAAUAUUGGUCAAUGGGCGCAAGCCUGAACCAGCCAUGCCGCGUGCAGGAUGACGGUCCUAUGGAUUGUAAACUGCUUUUGUACGAGAAGAAACACUGAUUCGUGAAUCAGCUUGACGGUAUCGUAAGAAUAAGGAUCGGCUAACUCCGUGCCAGCAGCCGCGGUAAUACGGAGGAUCCAAGCGUUAUCCGGAAUCAUUGGGUUUAAAGGGUCCGUAGGCGGUCUUGUAAGUCAGUGGUGAAAGCCCAUCGCUCAACGGUGGAACGGCCAUUGAUACUGCUGGACUUGAAUUAUUAGGAAGUAACUAGAAUAUGUAGUGUAGCGGUGAAAUGCUUAGAGAUUACAUGGAAUACCAAUUGCGAAGGCAGGUUACUACUAAUUGAUUGACGCUGAUGGACGAAAGCGUGGGUAGCGAACA
rnacentral:rRNA from 1 species